UCCCUGAUGGUCUAGUGGUUAGGAUUCAGCAUUUUUACUGCUGAGGUUUGGGUUCAAUUCCCAGUCAGAGAA